UUUUUUUUGUGAGGAAUCCAAAUUAUCAACAUUAUAAUUUGUUACCUACUCUCAAAGGAUUAGUCUAGGACAAAUCUGACCCAAUAUUUUAAUACAUUAUGUAGGUAUUACUUGCAACUAAGCUCAGCAAAAAAUGAAAUAAAGAUGUUACAGUGUGCUAUUUAGUAAGUUCACCUGCAGAUGUAGGUAAUCACCUGUCACACUGGGAUGAGACAAGGGAUGAAAUCCGGAAUGUCUUGUUCAGAUCUACAUCAUUAGAUUAUGAGAUUUAUUUCAAAAGAACAGUUAAAAUCAUCACAUAGGAUGAGUGAACCUACUCAAUAAACUCAGUAAACCACAAAAUAGCAUGCACAUCUUACCUGUUUAAUGUAGAUUGCAAAAUUCUUCAGAUUGCAAUUAAACACUGGCAUGCUGGUGUCAUGUGAAUUAGGAAAAAAAAAGACUUAUCAUAAGUGGGGGUUUAAGCUGAGGCUUAAAUAUGAAUAUUAAGCUGCUAAUUAUUAUACAAUAAUUAAGGAAGUCAGUUAUGACAUUAAUAUUUGUAUAUUUCUUGGUAUUAUGGUUACAU